AGUGAACGCUGGCGGUAGGCCUAACACAUGCGAGUCGAACGGCAGCACAGUAAGAGCUUGCUCUUACGGGUGGCGAGUGGCGGACGGGUGAGGAAUACAUCGGAAUCUACUUUUUCGUGGGGGAUAACGUAGGGAAACUUACGCUAAUACCGCAUACGACCUACGGGUGAAAGCAGGGGAUCUUCGGACCUUGCGCGAUUGAAUGAGCCGAUGUCGGAUUAGCUAGUUGGCGGGGUAAAGGCCCACCAAGGCGACGAUCCGUAGCUGGUCUGAGAGGAUGAUCCGCCACACUGGAACUGAGACACGGUCCCGACUCCUACGGGAGGCAGCAGUGGGGAAUAUUGGACAAUGGGCGCAAGCCUGAUCCAGCCAUACCGCGUGGGUGAAGAAGGCCUUCGGGUUGUAAAGCCCUUUUGUUGGGAAAGAAAAGCAGCAGGUUAAUACCCCGCUGUUCUGACGGUACCCAAAGAAUAAGCACCGGCUAACUUCGUG
rnacentral:rRNA from 1 species